UGUUGUGUAGCUCAUUGGUAGAAUGUUUGCCUAGCAUGCACAAGACCUUGGGUUCAGUACCCAGCACAGCAA
rnacentral:tRNA from 1 species